GGAGAAACGCGAGGGAAAUUAAAAGAUGUAAAAGCUGUAUAAAAAGAUUGAACUAUAGCCUUGGAAAACCACACCAUACACCAUUUAUUGCAGCUAGAAUCAUGAGAGCUUCAAACAUCCAUGUCGCCCUCCUACUUUUAUUGGCAUUGGUUGCGAGUGAACCUAGCCAUGCCUUCGACCUUGUCCCAAAGUUUCAUGUCAAUGUUUUCAAUGACCUGAG
rnacentral:misc_RNA from 1 species